AACACCAACACUGCUGGAUGAUAAAGGGGUGGGGCGGAGAGGGGCGGGGUGGAGCCCCAGAGCACGUGGUGGAGGGAAAGAAAUGCUCUAGGAAUAUCCAUGGCUCUUACCACGCUGUAAAUGAUCUGCUGAGUUUAUGCAAGAGACACCCGAGAUUGCUGAGCCAGCACUGCGGCAGGUGGAGCAGAGCUCCUACCCGAGCAGGGGCGAGCAGGGGCCGGGAGAGAGCGGGUGUGGCCGGGCCUCCAGGCGUUCAUUCACGAGGAAGCAGAGUACUACCAGCGACUGAUGCACACACCCACCUUAGCCACGCCCUGGAACGACUGGCUACUUGCUGAAAAACAGAUGGUCCCUGCUCUACAAGGGUUCGGCUCGUGAUUUUUUUUUGUCUCUACAAUGGCGCGAAGGCGAUGCACAUUGAGUAGAAACCGUACCUGGAAUUUUGCCUUUUGAUCUUUCCAGGCUACUGCUGGGCAGCGCAGCCCCAGCUCCCGGGCAGCCCGCCAUCACGAGGGUGAACCCCCGACACACCGAGAACCAUUCCGCACCAGGCAGCCAUCUGCUUUUCGCUCUCGAUUUCUACAAAACAGCCUGAGGCCAAGAGAAGAAAACAAAGCCCCCUGAGUGAGUUAGCAGAAGACCAGGACUCGAAACCCACUUUCAGGGCCUGACCUCGGUCCCCAGGGCCAAGAGAAUAUCACCCAGCCCAGCUGCAGGGGGCACCCGCGCGCGUGAGCCUCCCCAGCACCCGCAGAGGCAGCGCACGUGCAGCGGAAGAAGCCCAGGGCUCUGCACCCGGCGGGGCUGCGGCCUCCGUGGUCUCCCCACCCAGCAUCGGGGCCUGAUUCCCCUCAGGGCUCUCCCACGCCCUGAGCAUCAAGGGCUGGGCUGGGGGGUGGGGGGGAAGCCCGCCUUCCAUGACCGUGAGCCUGCCGAGCACGCGGCCUCCCCGUUCGUGUUCACUACUGUGCAGCGGUGCAGGUCUGUGCCUGGCUGGUCAGCUUGUGAUCUGCAGAGAGGCCGAGGGCAGGGGAACAGGGGAGGGGAGCUAGCCUUCCCCUCCCUGCGUUCACUGGACGUGAUGACGCUACAAAGACGCACAAGACACACUCCAGGUUCUCACGACUCCAAGGGUUCAUCAGGGAAGCGGACCCCAAGACAAAAACCUGGGUCAGGACAGCGGCGGAUGGACCAACUCUGCCAUCAGAGGCACGUGGUGUGGCAGAGAGAGCUGGCUUUCCUGAGUCCGACGGAUCCAGGACUAAAUGCCGUCUCUGGCGUGUGCUAUGGGCAGGUUACCUAACCUCUCUGGACCUUAGUUUCUUUACUUAUGAAAUGAGGUUAAUAAUACCCCCAAAGCAGUGAAUGGUCAGGAUUAAAAUAUAUAAUCUAAGUCAAACGAUGAGCCCAGGGCCAGCACAUCGUAGGUGUUCUGUGAUGGGGAGCUAUAAAUAUUACCGAUACUGCCCAAUAGCGACUGAGGGCCCGCUGCAGGUCGGGCACCGGCUGGGCACUUUACGUAAACCUUUAAUGCUCAUAAAAACCCCAUGAAGGGGGCUUCCCUGGUGGCGCAGUGGUUGGGAGUCCACCUGCCGAUGCAGGGGACGCGGGUUCGUGCCCCGGUCCAGGAGGAUCCCACGUGCCGUGGAGCGGCUGGGCCCGUGAGCCAUGACCGCUGAGCCUGCGCGUCCGGAGCCUGUGCUCCGCAACGGGAGAGGCCACAGCAGUGAGAGGCCCGCGUACCGCAAAAAAAAAAAAAAAAAAAAAAAAAAAACCAUGAAGGAGGUAC